rnacentral:rRNA from 1 species
UUAGGAAUUUUGGGCAAUGGGCGCAAGCCUGACCCAGCAACGCCGCGUGGGCGACGAAGCCCUUCGGGGUGUAAAGCCCUUUUCGACGGGACGAUAAUGACGGUACCGUCGGAAGAAGCCCCGGCUAACUACGUGCCAGCAGCCGCGGUAAUACGUAGGGGGCGAGCGUUGUCCGGAUUCAUUGGGCGUAAAGCGCGCGCAGGCGGCUGUGCGAGCCCGGCGUGAAAGCCCCCGGCUCAACCGGGGGAGGUCGUCGGGGACCGCACGGCUAGAGGCCGGUAGGGGCGAGCGGAAUUCCCGGUGUAGUGGUGGAAUGCGUAGAGAUCGGGAGGAACACCAGUGGCGAAGGCGGCUCGCUGGGCCGGUCCUGACGCUCAGGCGCGAAAGCGUGGGGAGCGAUCCGG